UGGCGGCGUGACUUAACACAUGACAAGUACGAACGACGGAAAGGACGUUCGGUCCUGAGUAAAGUGGCGCACGGGUGAGUAACGCGUAGAUAACCUGUCUUCAUGUCUGGAAUAAUACGCCGAAAGGGGUACUAAUACCGGAUAUUCUUGCUUUUCAUAAGUUAUGCAAGCAAAGGUGGCCUCUGCAUAUGCUACUGCAUGAAGAGGGGUCUGCGUACCAUUAGCUAGUAGGUGGGGUAAUGGCCUACCUAGGCGACGAUGGUUAGCGGGUCUGAGAGGAUGAUCCGCCACACUGGCACUGGAACACGGGCCAGACUCCUACGGGAGGCAGCAGUGAGGAAUAUUGCGCAAUGGGGGAAACCCUGACGCAGCGACGCCGCGUGAGUGAAGGAAGGCCCUCGGGUCGUAAAGCUCUGUCAAGAGGAAAGAAGUGUACAAUGGCUAAUACCUGUUGUAUUUGACGGUACCUCUAAAGGAAGCACCGGCUAACUCCGUGCCAGCAGCCGC
rnacentral:rRNA from 1 species